rnacentral:misc_RNA from 1 species
AACGGUCUAUACCUGCGGUACCUGCGGAAGGAUCAUUACCGAGUGAGGGCCCUCUGGGUCCAACCUCCCACCCGUGUUGCACGAACCUGUGUUGCUUCGGCGGGCCCGCCGCCUAGGCCGCCGGGGGGCAUCCGCCCCCGGGCCCGCGCCCGCCGAAGCCCCCCUCUGAACGCUGUCUGAAGUUGCAGUCUGAGACAACUAGCUAAAUUAGUUAAAACUUUCAACAACGGAUCUCUAGAU